UACAGGGGGGGCAAGCGUUGUUCGGAAUUACUGGGCGUAAAGGGCUCGUAGGUGGCCAACUAAGUCAGACGUGAAAUCCCUCAGCUUAACUGGGGAACUGCGUCUGAUACUGGAUGGCUUGAGUUUGGGAGAGGGAUGCGGAAUUCCAGGUGUAGCGGUGAAAUGCGUAGAUAUCUGGAGGAACACCGGUGGCGAAGGCGGCAUCCUGGACCAACACUGACACUGAGGAGCGAAAGCCAGGGGAGCGAACGGG
rnacentral:rRNA from 1 species